AAAAUGGGCUGUAAAAAAUAAGGCAAAGCGCACAUCAGUUGAUGAGGUGCUCUUGGUGUUACGUAAACAUGGCCACCAGCUGCCAAAAGAUGCCAGAACCCUGUUAGGAACUCCAACUCAAAUAGAAGUCAGGGAUCUGUGUGGUGGCCAGUUCCUCUACUUCAGUGUGGAGACGGGACUUUUGAAAAUGUGCUCACAGUAUCCCGAUUUCUUUUUAACAGAAAAUGAUACUGCUACAUUUCAGUGUAGAUGGUGUGCCAUUGUUUAAAUCAUCCAAUGUACAAAUUUGGCCCAUUCUUUGUAGUGUGGAAAAGUUUGAGCCGUUUAUCGUUGCACUAUUUUGUGGAACUGCAAAGCCAAACAGCCUUACUGAUUACACGUCUAGUUUUUUAACAGAACUGCAGGCACUCAACAACAUGGGGUUGAGUUCCAAAAUGAAACAUUAAAUGUUAAAGUGAAUGCUUUCAUUUGUGAUGCCCCAGUCCCACAAUGCCUACAGCAGCUGUGAGCGGUGCACCAUUGAAGGACAUUAUGUAAGUCACAGGGUUGUAUUCAACUACCAGUCGCAGGAGAAGAUUGAUGCAAGAACAGAAGAUGACUUCAGCAAACAGGCAUAUCCCAUCCACCAAACUGGUUGUUCACCCCUGACCACUGCAGGCUUGCAGUUUGUGCUGGAUUAUAUGCAUGUUGUCUGCCUAGGGGUUGUCAGAUGAUUGCUGAACUUUCUAAAACAGGGACCUAGAGAGUGUAGGCUGUACCCAAGGCAAAUUGGAGAAAUUUCAGCAAAACUCUUGUCCCUCAGUGGAAAGCUGCCAAGAGAAUUUGCCCGACAGCCACGAAGUCUAACUGAUCUGGACAGAUGGAAAGCGACAGAAUUCAGGCAGUUUUUACUCUAUACUGGACCUGUUGUUCUCCGAGGCAUUCUGCAAAACAGUUUUACCAUCACUUUUUGACACUGUCAGUUGCCAUGUCUGUACUGUUGGACUCCAACGGCAUUACAUGGAUGUCAUCCAUUGGCUACGCUGAAGAGCUUCUAGUAUAUUUUUUAUAGAACAUCUACCAAGCUCUACAGCCCAAUAUUUCCAUCCUGUGUCCAUACCCUGAUCCACUUGGCUGAAGAUGCAAGGCACUUUGUAACAUCUUUGAAUGACAUCUCUGCCUUUCAGUUUGAAAAGUGUCAGAAAUGCAAAAAAACCCAAUUGCACAACUAUCGAAGAGGAUAGCAGAAAUGGACAAUGCAAAAUUCAUGUCUCAUCAGCAGCACUUGGGACAUUUGUGUCAACUAAGAAGAAGGACUCCUGUUUUUUUUUGGAACAUGCCUUUGCCUUGGUAAAGGAAAGAAGGCCAGAACGUGUGUGUGUGAUGUAUACAGUCUCAAUGCUUUGGACAGAUUCUUCACCAGUCCAUGCGACUCAAAACUGAUUAACAUUGCUGUACUGCGCGAUGAAAGAGGGGAACCGCAAACGAGAACUGAUUGAGGGAGAAAAACUGAAGCACAAGGCAGUUUGUCUAUCAUACAAAAGUGGCUAUGUAUUUGUGCCAUUGCUUCAUGGCAGUGAAAGGAACUAAUCAGCCUAGGAUAAGUGACAGAAGAAAAGAACCAGAACAAUGUGGACCAGAGCGGUGUGGAGAGAGGAGACCAUGGAGAUGGAGGAAGUGAUACCAUCAUGUUGGGUUAAGAAUGGUGGUGUACUAUGGCCUCCACAAGGAGCUGCGAGAGCGUUGAAUGCCUGCAAAGAUCCUGAAGAGUCAUGGACGAAAUUCCCGUUAAUGAAAAUGAAGAUUCAGUCAGAUGACAAGAAUGAAUGCGAGAAAUAUGAUUUUACUACAACUGCUGAAUUGAGUGGCUCAGAAGAGGAGUUACCAACGAAGAGGAGGCCAAAAAUUUUUUUAUCCCGACUACCAAAUGGAUGAACCAUCUGUCAAUGAAGACAGUCAAAAAGAAUCUUCUCCAGGUCUUAUGAUAAAGAGUACAG